ACUCGAAUGAGAGUUUUCAGAAAUCCUAAAUUGAAUAGAUCUGGUAUCACAAGCAGAGAUAAACUGCAGCUGCAGCUUCGCCUGAGGAACCCAGGGUCUGAACUUCUUGUUUGAGCCACAGAAGCUGGAACUUUUUCUGUGGACAAUAAGUCAGGAUGUCAGAUAUUUCUGUGAAUGACCACCUUGAGGGGAUAUUGUCUGAUUUUGAGGCCCUGAAGAGAUCCUUUGAUAUUGAUGAUGUCGAUGAGAUCCCGACGUUCUCGCCGACCUCCUCAGUCACAUCCCCCAUCAGCCCAAGCUCCAUUCUCAGCAAAGCCAAUGACGUGCGCAGUGGGGUCAACCACAUGUCCCCGACAUACCGCUCACGGAUAAGCCUGAGUUCCAGUCCUGCUCAAAGCCCUGCCAUGAAGAACAGGAUGGUUUCCAGUCUGUCCUUUAAUCGAGGGACCAUGGGAAAGCCUACUGUCAACUCUAACAUCGGGAUCAACCGUGCAGCCUCCUUCCAGAACAGAUUCAAUCCCAACGGCUUUAAUUCCUGUUCAGGGCCUGGCAGUGACAAUGACAGCCUUCAUAGUUCCUCCUCCAGUCUGGAAUACCAGGCAUCGUCCAAAUUGAGCUCCUACACCAGCCCACCACAAAGUCCAAUGGGGGUUGGUGACUACAAAGCCCAGCGUUUGGGAAGCCCUGCUUUGAAGAAGUUUUCCUCUCAUGGGAAUGUGUUCCACUCAGAGCUUGAGGGCCCACUAGUGAUCCCAACUGAGCCGUUGGGUAUUAGCCAUGGCUCCAUGCCCUCGCUGGACCUCCAGAUGGCUGAGAGUGGAGGAAUGAGGCAAGUCGUGUCUCCUGUGUUAUCAAGAUUCCCUAAUGCUCCUGUUACCUGGAACGCACAUCGUCUCCAGAACCACAGCACAAUUGGCAAGGAUCCCUCUUCCAUCAACCAUCAGCCUCCUAAAACCAAGGAGCCUGCUCGACUCAACAAGUUCCCACUUGAUCUUGACAACCUUGUGGUGAAACCCCAGUCUCCUGAUGUGUCUGUGGCACCAAAACCUCCACCAAGGUUCCACCCUGUGUCUCCGAGCCCCACUGUGUCUGCCAGCCCUUCUGCUUCCGUCAGCAGCUUGGACAGCACUGAUCUUCCCCUGGUUCACAGCUACACUACAGAGAAACGUGAGCCUGUCACCCCUACAGGAGCAAUUCCAGUUCCCAACAUCAGUGAAUCUCCUGUCUUGCUCUCCCCCGCCCAGACACCGCUCUUCAAUCUGGUUUCUAAGCCUCAGGUUGUCCAGAUCGCUCCUGCUACAUCGCCACAACCCACACAAGUCAACAUUGUGAGCAGUACAUCACGUAGUGAGUCUCCGGCCAAGGACAGCGUGGGCUCCAUUCUCCAGAGGAUUGCCAGUUUCUCCAGAGUUGAAGCCAGAGUGCCAAUGCCAAGCCCAAGUCCUGUCACAUCUUUAAGCAAUGGAAUCAAGAGAGAGUCUCCAGCUGUACAACAUAAGGAGCUGAAGAGAUCAGAAGCGUGCUUCUCUCUCUGAUACUGAUACAGUACGCCGGGGUGUCUAUAACAGCCCACGAGACCUGUAACGAG
rnacentral:lncRNA from 1 species